rnacentral:rRNA from 1 species
UCCUACGGGGGGCAGCAGUGAGGAAUAUUGGUCAAUGGGCGGGAGCCUGAACCAGCCAAGUCGCGUGAGGGAUGAUGGCCCUAUGGGUUGUAAACCUCUUUUGCCGGGGAGCAAAGUGCCGCACGUGUGCGGUUUGGAGAGUACCCGGAGAAAAAGCAUCGGCUAACUCCGUGCCAGCAGCCGCGGUAAUACGGAAGGUCCGGGCGUUAUCCGGAUUUAUUGGGUUUAAAGGGAGCGUAGGCCGGCUUUUAAGUCAGCUGUGAAAGUCCGCGGCUCAACCGUGGAAUUGCAGUUGAAACUGGAGG